rnacentral:rRNA from 1 species
UACGUAGGUGUCAAGCGUUGUCCGGAUUUAUUGGGCGUAAAGCGCCCGCAGGCGGCUUGGUAAGUUCGAGGUGAAAUCUCCCGGCUCAACUGGGAGGGUGCCUCGAAAACUAUCAGGCUUGAGGCAGGGAGAGGGAUGUGGAAUUCCCGGUGUAGUGGUGAAAUGCGUAGAUAUCGGGAGGAACACCAGUGGCGAAGGCGGCAUCCUGGCCCUGUCCUGACGCUCAGGGGCGAAAGCGUGGGGAGCAAACCGG